CGCUAACCUGCAUAAUGACAUCAGCAUACAGUUGUCUAUAUUUGUGUAGGAAAUAUAAGAUAUAAUCUACAUACCUUCACCAUUGUCUCAUGUAUUGCAGGCUUAUCAAGAUAUUCUCUAGCUUUGAGAGCUGCAUAAGGCUAAUGAUUAAAAAAAGAAAAGUGAGUCAGUAAAUGGAGAUUCUAAAGAUCAUCAUCCAAAUGCACCAAAAUUUAGAGUAAGAUCGAACCACUAUUAAUGAAGGUAUUCUACUGGGCUAGGAUGCUUGUUGUUUGGAUAUGGAGCCAUGGAAGAACUUGGACCCUUCCGUGUUAACAGUGAUGGAAAAACACUCUACCCCAACCACUAUGCAUGGAACAAUGGUGCAUGCCUAACCCUAUAAAACCUUUGCUUUUGAGGUACUAACUGUUUUCUCCUGGAAUUUUUUUUGCCUGAGAUUUUUUGCUGCCAGCUAUCCCUUCGGGACCACUCUUAUGUAUUAUGUUAAAAGCACCAAUUCAGAAAUUUGCUGAUUAUCUUUUAGGUGUUGGUGUCAAGCUUGUUGGCAAUACAGUGUGGAGUACCCUCUUUCAUCAAUUCUUAAUAGUGAUGUCACGUGAGAAAUCAUUUUUCUUUUUGUUAAACAAGUCUUUAUUAUCAUGUAUUAGGUCAUACCAUGGGUAAAAACAGCCUUGCCCCUGGUUCCGGGGUUGUCACAAAAUACUUGA